GGCAACAGAAGAACGGACGCUCGAUGGUCUGCUGUAUCGGAAAAGUGAAAAUUUUCUCGCCAGUUGCAGAUUUGACGUUUACCUUACAACAAGUUCUCCUGGAGCGAUUCGUUGGUGUCAUUCGCGACGCGAUUUUACCUCUGUAGUCCAUUUUCAUCCAGAGGUUUUUCCUGAAGUUGGUUCAUCGUUGUCUUUGGGGUUGAAUUUUCUUAAGUUUGUAAUGUGACUACGCGAAGUUUUUGUGCGAUUUUAAAGUGUUGAAGGAUUUCUACGAAAAGGUGUGUUGGAAAAAUCCGAGCAGAAAAGUAGCACACAGCCUAGAAAAGAUUUUUCCUUACAAGGGAGGAUACGGAAACAUCAAGUGACAUAAUUUUUAUCAAUUUUGAGCUACUCCUGCCCUAGUAUCUACGGCGAAGCGGAAACUUUGCAGUCUUCUGAUCUGGAUAAGUGUGCGUUUUUCACUUGUGCGUUCCGAUACACAAAAAAGGCAGUGUGUAGCAAACGUGAAAUGUGUGUCUGAGGAGAGAGGAAAAUCAAAGAAAUAGUGAUUUCCAAAAUUGGAUUAUUUCAAGAAGAACAACAACCUGAAAGCAAUUCCCUGAAUGCAGCCUUCAUCACAUCGCUUGGGGCUUCUAUUGUAAACCAAUCAUUGGUAUUUCGGAUGAAGCCUGAGUGAAAUCCACCGGUCACCAAGCUUAUCAAUAAUUCUCUCAAUAGAGCUCCCAUCGCAGAGCUGUUGAGGGCGAGGUAGCUCUGGGGCUGUGUCCUGUUUUGGGAUCGGUGCCAAAAAACAUUCAUCCACCACACGUUGGAAAAGGAA